AGGGUGAUUUAAUAGCUGCUCAAGGUCAGGAUGAAUAUACAGGUUUUAUCUCUGGAUUUUCAAGCCCUGAGGUAUUGGAAGAGCUUGUGAUGAUGAAAGUGGAGGCAGAAUGCCAGCUCCAAAAGCAGGAAUCCAGGCUGAAAUGUAGUAAUCCCCUAGCAAGGGAAAUCUUCUGAAGGCACUUUGAGCAGCUUGCUACCAGGAAACCCCAGGACCAAGGGAGGCGCUUAUUCGACUUAGGAACUUUGCCACCAGUAGCUGAAGCCACAUGUGAGCACAAAGGAGCAGAUCCUGGAGCUUCUGAUACUGAAGUAAUUCCUGUCCAUUCUGCCUGAGGAGCUGCAGGGCUGGGUAAGGGAACACUGUCCAGAGAGUGCGGGAAGAGGCUAUGAGUUUGCUGGAAGAGCUGGAGAGAGAACUUGAUGAACCACAACAUGAGAUCAUAACUCACAAACACAGAUAAGUCCUCUCUAGAGAGAGACUGCCUGCAGAAUAGCAGUCAUCACUGAGCCUUCAUUGCCAGCCUGUGGAGCCCCAACUCCCUGCCCAGGUCUCCCAUCCUACUGGAGAGACAGUUCUUUAAAGAGGUGUAUUGAUGGAAACAAGACGUUUUAUGGACAAUAUCAGAACAGUUUCAUCAUUAACUACAAAGCUUGAAGGCACGUAGCCCCACUUUAAAAUGUUAUAAGAUUAACAGAUGCCAGAGGUGCUGAGCUGCAUCCCCAGGGUGAGACCAGAUGUUCAAAGUAAGAUAACAAUUGCCAUACCUUGCAAAGUAUAAUUAGACCCUAAACCCUAAACUUUUUGUAAAUUAUAUGACUAUAAAAGAAUUAAGAUGAAAAGAAUGUCACCAGUUCUGUUUUCCUAACCCUGACCCCCAUUCUUGUGGGCUAGAAUAGUUAGGUGAAUCCUAAAGAUAAAUACCCUAACCACAAAGAAAAUGCUACGUUUGGGUUAACAUUAAGCAGUCUUGUGACCAUGAUUUGUGAUGGGAACUGAGAGAAGUGGAAUGUUAUUGAACUACCUAAAAUGAGGUCAUGAUUAUAAAACUCUUAUAAAAGGCAGAUUGUAACCUGUUCCAGGGUCAGUGAUUUGUCACAGCCCUUGGUGCAGGCCAACCCUUUGCUAGUCAACGUUUUUACCCACUCUUGUGUCUCUGUGUGGUUUACCAGUU